rnacentral:rRNA from 1 species
GCGGCGUGCUUAACACAUGCAAGUCGAACGAUGAUCCCAGCUUGCUGGGGGAUUAGUGGCGAACGGGUGAGUAACACGUGAGUAACCUGCCCUUGACUCUGGGAUAAGCCUGGGAAACUGGGUCUAAUACCGGAUAUGACCGCUCUGACGCAUGUCAGGUGGUGGAAAGCUUUUGUGGUUUUGGAUGGACUCGCGGCCUAUCAGCUUGUUGGUGGGGUAAUGGCCUACCAAGGCGACGACGGGUAGCCGGCCUGAGAGGGUGACCGGCCACACUGGGACUGAGACACGGCCCAGACUCCUACGGGAGGCAGCAGUGGGGAAUAUUGCACAAUGGGCGCAAGCCUGAUGCAGCGACGCCGCGUGAGGGAUGACGGCCUUCGGGUUGUAAACCUCUUUCAGUAGGGAAGAAGCGAAAGUGACGGUACCUGCAGAAGAAGCGCCGGCUAACUACGUGCCAGCAGCCGCGGUAAUACCUAUGGCGCAAGCGUUAUCCGGAAUUAUUGGGCGUAAAGAGCUCGUACGCGGUUUGUCUCGUCUGCUGUGAAAGACCGGG